rnacentral:rRNA from 1 species
UACGUAGGUCCCGAGCGUUGUCCGGAUUUAUUGGGCGUAAAGCGAGCGCAGGUGGUUUAUUAAGUCUGGUGUAAAAGGCAGUGGCUCAACCAUUGUAUGCAUUGGAAACUGGUAGACUUGAAUACAGGAGAGGAGAGUGGAAUUCCAUGUGUAGCGGUGAAAUGCGUAGAUAUAUGGAGGAACACCGGUGGCGAAAGCGGCUCUCUGGCCUGUAACUGACACUGAGGCUCGAAAGCGUGGGGAGCAAACAGG